rfam:Triticum aestivum genome assembly, contig: Triticum_aestivum_CS42_TGACv1_scaffold_228033_3B
UAGAUACUUCCUCCAUCCCAAAUUUUUGUCUUAGAUUUGGGAACAUACGGAUGUAUCUAACUUGUCUUAGAUUUAUCUACAUAUGGAUGUAUCUAUUCACGUUUUAGUGUUAGAUAUAUCCGUAUCUAGAUAAAUUUAAGACAAGAAUUUUGGAACGAAGAGAGUAUUAC